GAUGAACGCUGGCGGCGUGCCUAAUACAUGCAAGUCGAGCGAACAGACGCGGAGCUUGCUCCUUUGACGUUAGCGGCGGACGGGUGAGUAACACGUGGGUAACCUACCUAUAAGACUGGGAUAACUUCGGGAAACCGGAGCUAAUACCGGAUAAUAUUUCGAACCGCAUGGUUCGAUAGUGAAAGAUGGCUCUGCUAUCACUUAUAGAUGGACCUGCGCCGUAUUAGCUAGUUGGUAAGGUAACGGCUUACCAAGGCAACGAUACGUAGCCGACCUGAGAGGGUGAUCGGCCACACUGGAACUGAGACACGGUCCAGACUCCUACGGGAGGCAGCAGUAGGGAAUCUGCCGCAAUGGGCGAAAGCCUGACGGAGCAACGCCGCGUGAGUGAUGAAGGUCUUCGGAUCGUAAAACUCUGUUAUUAGGGAAGAACAAACGUGUAAGUAACUGUGCACGUCUUGACGGUACCUAAUCAGAAAGCCACGGCUAACUACGUG
rnacentral:rRNA from 1 species